rnacentral:lncRNA from 1 species
GAGGAGUGGGAAUGCCUGGACCCUGCUCAGAGGGACUUGUACGUGGAUGUAAUGUUGGAGAACUAUAGUAACUUGGUGUCACUGGUUUGGAGUCAAAAACGUAUGAGACCAAAAAAAUAUUUUCAGAAAAUGAUAUUUUUGAAAUAAAUUUUUCCCAGUGGGAGAUGAAGGACAAAAGUAAAACCCUUGGCCUUGAGGCAUCCAUCUUCAGAAAUAAUUGGAAGUGCAAAAGCAUAUUCGAGGGACUAAAAGGACAUCAAGAGGGAUACUUCAGUCAAAUGAUAAUCAGCUAUGAAAAAAUACCUUCUUACAGAAAAAGUAAAUCUCUUACUCCACAUCAAAGAAUUCAUAAUACAGAGAAAUCCUAUGUUUGUAAGGAAUGUGGGAAGGCUUGCAGUCAUGGCUCAAAACUUGUUCAACAUGAGAGAACUCAUACAGCUGAAAAACACUUUGAAUGUAAAGAAUGUGGGAAGAAUUAUU